AAGUUAUCACGAAAGGCGGAGGGAAAGACCCAAUGAAACCUUAGCAACCCUUUAUCUUUUAAAGAAGGUGCUACAUUCUACUUUAUUCUGAAUUUAUUUCAGAAAUUAAAGAUAGAUAACAC
rnacentral:ncRNA from 1 species